UGGCCUCUAACCUAGUUUUCUAAAUAAUCUAUUAGAAAUGUCUAACCUAUGGACUUUUUCUUAUUUCCAGUUGACAGACUAAGGUCAAGAAAGAGGUUAUAUCAUGAACCCAUUACCUGACUCCCAGACAACGAUCUUGCCAUUCCAACUUCAGAAGAAGCUUUGGAGGGAGUUUAAACCAUAAGCUUACCCUCUCAAUCAUCCACUACCCCAAGGGGUCACACCGGCCAAGGCCUGAUUGGAGAUGCCUGGGACCCUGCUGAGCUAGCCGUCCCCCCAACGCUGGCCGCAGCCACGACUCCGAGCGCUGCUCCUUGUUUUUCUGCGCUUUCCUUUCUCCCCCACAAGCUUCUGAUUCUUGGAACCAGGCUUGGUGACCUCACGCGAGUGACUUCAUAUCCGGGACUUUCUGGGAAUUCUCAGCAGCACUUUUUCGCCGCCAUCUCCAACCAAUUGGACUGAGUCUUCUGUCAUUCGGGUCACCGCCGCUGAGACGCCUUCCCUGACCACCCAAGUUGAAGGAACUGCCAACCUUUCCCUUUUGGACUUUUGUAUUUCCUUCACAGUAUUUCUCCCCUCUAAAAUUAUCUUGUCUGCUUCUACCUAUAUUGUCUUCCCUCUUGAAACCAAAGUUUCAUAAGCUGAGGCAGAAAUUCUGCCUUGUUCAUCUCUGUUCUCAGCACCCUGAACAGAGCCUGGCAUGAAUGAGGUGCUCAAUAAAAGUUACUUGGAUGAAUGGGC
ensembl:lincRNA